UGGGGAAUAUUGCACAAUGGGGGAAACCCUGAUGCAGCGACGCCGCGUGGAGGAAGAAGGUCUUCGGAUUGUAAACUCCUGUCCCAGGGGACGAUAAUGACGGUACCCUGGGAGGAAGCACCGGCUAACUACGUGCCAGCAGCCGCGGUAAAACGUAGGGUGCAAGCGUUGUCCGGAAUUACUGGGUGUAAAGGGAGCGCAGGCGGAUUGGCAAGUUGGGAGUGAAAUCUAUGGGCUCAACCCAUAAAUUGCUUUCAAAACUGUCAGUCUUGAGUGGUGUAGAGGUAGGCGGAAUUCCCGGUGUAGCGGUGGAAUGCGUAGAUAUCGGGAGGAACACCAGUGGCGAAGGCGGCCUACUGGGCACUAACUGACGCUGAGGCUCGAAAGCAUGGGUAGCAAACAGGAUUAGAUACCCUGGUAGUCCAUGCCGUAAACGAUGAUUACUAGGUGUGGGAGGAUUGACCCCUUCCGUGCCGCAGUUAACACAAUAAGUAAUCCACCUGGGGAGUACGACCGCAAGGUUGAAACUCAAAGGAAUUGACGGGGGCCCGCACAAGCAGUGGAGUAUGUGGUUUAAUUCGAAGCAACGCGAAGAACCUUACCAGGUCUUGACAUCGGAUGCAUACCUAAGAGAUUAGGGAAGUCCUUCGGGACAUCCAGACAGGUGGUGCAUGGUUGUCGUCAGCUCGUGUCGUGAGAUGUUGGGUUAAGUCCCGCAACGAACGCAACCCUUAUCGUUAGUUACUACGCAAGAGGACUCUAGCGAGACUGCCGUUGACAAAACGGAGGAAGGUGGGGAUGACGUCAAAUCAUCAUGCCCUUUAUGACCUGGGCUACACACGUACUACAAUGGCUAUUAACAGAGAGAAGCGAUACCGCGAGGUGGAGCAAACCUCACAAAAAUAGUCUCAGUUCGGAUCGCAGGCUGCAACCCGCCUGCGUGAAGCCGGAAUUGCUAGUAAUCGCGGAUCAGCAUGCCGCGGUGAAUACGUUCCC
rnacentral:rRNA from 2 species